UGUGGGUAUAGUGUAACAUUUUAAUACAUGUAUACAGUGUAUAGUGGUCAGAACAGUCGUUGGCAUAGCUAUCACCUUAGACAUCAUUUUUCUUUGUGUGAGAACAUUCAAAAUCUCUACUUGUUUGGAAAUAGUCAAUUAAUUGUUGUCAACUGUAAUUAUUCUACUGUUUUUUAAAACUUUAGAAGUUACUUCUCCUACCUGAUUGCUAUGAGUUUGAGGCCAGCCUGGGCUACACAGUGGGUUCAAGGCCAGCCUAAACUAUACAGCAAGACCCUGUCUCAAAAAGAAAAAGAAAAAGUUAUUUCUCCUGCCUAACUGUAGCUCUGUACCUCUUAACCCUUUUCUUUCCAUUCUCCCUCCCCUAAACCCUUCCCAGGUACUGGUAACCACUAUGCUGGUCUCUACUUCUAUGAAAUCCACUUUCUAGCUUCCACAUAUAGAUAAGAAUAUGCCUUAUUUGUCUUUCUCUACCCCUGACGUUCUUUCCGCCCACAAGACUUACUGUAUCUAUCUAGCAGUUUUGUGUCUCUGGCUUUAUGCAAGGUUGGGGAUUGGCUUCCAAGUACCCACAGAGAGAAGGGACCAAAUCAGAAGCCCCAGGGCCUCCAGGAGAAGAUGGGCCCAAAAGAAAGGAACCCCUCAAGAGAGGAGAGCCCUAGGCAAAGUCCAAAGGCACAGGUAAAAUGGGCAGAGGCUGUCCAUUAGGAGUUCCCUCCCCUUAGGGCCAAGAGAACUGGGGUCUGGCUUCAUCACUGUCACCUUGACCCUGGGGAGUUUUCUCUGUAGGAGGGUACUUUCUUGCAGGGUUGUCAGGAGAAUUGCAUAUAUUAGUUGGAUGGUGCUAACUGCAAUGUAACUGAACAAAGGAGAAAGUUUUGGGAAGACCCAGGACUCCGGGGCUGCUUGACUUUCCUUCCCAGCCCCAGGCAUCUGCAGGACUGCUGGCAGCUGCCAUACAGUGGAGCCAGGAACUGGCAAAUGAGAUCCUUUCUUUCUUUCUCUUCACCCGGCUCCCUGCAGGAGCCCUGUUGGAAUCUUCCCGCCCUCUUUUUUUUUUUUUUUUUUUUCCAGAGUUUGGUACUAGCUUUGCUCAAAAUGAUUUCUACCAUGAGGCUAUUCUUUUCACCCAGGCCUUACAGCUCAACCCCCAGGACCACCAGUAGGUGGGGACGUGAUCACUGUGCUAGGAGAUCAGGACAAGGCAGGGUGUGGAAGGUCCAGACCUUUGACCACUUCUCUGUGUUUAUCAGGUUAUUUGGAAAUCGCUCCUACUGCCAUGAGUGGUUGGAUCAGUCAGCAUGGGCCCUAGUGGCCCUUACCCUUCAACUUGGGUGGCCCCGGGGCCUCUUCUGUCUGGGCAAGGCCUUGAUGGGGCUGCAGCGCUUUGGAGAUGCAGCUGCUGUGUUCCAGGAGAUUCUGGGGGGUGUGUACCAGCCAGAUUCAGCCCGGGAACUCCACUCUUGCCUACUCCAACUUGCUUUGGUGAGGAAACUGACCCACCCUCGGGCUAGGGCCAUCAGGAAGCACCACCUGGGACUGAGAUCCUGUAGUGCCAUCCGUUGCCUCCAGUGGGUAAGAAGGGUGUAGGAAUGGUGGGCUCAUGCGCCCUUCUCUCUUCCCUUUCAGCAGGAUCAACAAGGAAGAAUCCAUGUGCCACCUUGAUCAACUGGAGUCCUCCAGUCACUUCCGCAUGUUGAGACAGGAGACGCAGACCUGUUAUCCUUUGGUCAGAGCAGGUCUUCGGAGCCUGGGCCUUCUGUCUCCACUCACGUCAUGUAUUCUCCCACAUAUCACCUGAGCCAGCCCGCCUUAUCUUUCCCCAGACUCAGAUUACAAGACCCCACCCUCUUCAUCUCCAGGAUCCCUCAAAGAGCUGGGGGAUCCCAUGUCUUGGAUGCCAGCAUCUGCCUCAGCCCAGAUGAGAGAGGCAUUUUGUUGUUGUUGGUGGUGGUGGUGGUUUGUUUUUUUUUUGUGUGUGUGUGGGGGUUCCUCAGUACCAGGGAUCAAAUUCAGGAUCUUGUACUUGCAAGGCAGGCGUGUUGCCACUGAGCUAAAUCCCCAGCCCUGGGAGGCUCUUUCUCUAAUAGAGUGAAAAUAGUGAACACUUUGUGCUAAUAUUUUUCUGCAUAUUUUGAGGCCCUGUAAUUAAAUCCACAUUUAGCUGGACAUGUUCGCACAUGCCUGUAAUCCCAGUACUUGUGAGGCAGAGGCAGGAGGAUUGCCAUAAAUUCGAGUUCAAGGCCAGCCUGAAUUACAGAGUGAGACCCUGUUUCAUAAAACAAGCAAACACUAAAAGUCUAUUAAAGGUACCUCUGGCAAUCAUUCCUUUUGCAUGGAGAAUCUUCUCAUGAGAGAAAGUCCCACAUCCACUGAAACAUUCUUUCUUUGGUUCCCAAGCAGAUGGCUUCUUUUGAGGGUGGUAAGGAAACAUAAACACUUUCAGAGCUCAAGAUGAGGAACCACCUGGGUGCAAGGGUGCACCUGAGAUUCUAGCACUCUGGAAGACUAAGGCAAGAGGAUCACAAGUUCAAGCCCAGCCUGGGCAACUUGGUCACUUAGCAAGACCCUGUCUCAAAAAAAAAAAAAAAAAAAAAAGCAGAUGGCUUCUUUUGAGGGUGGUAAGGAAACAUAAACACUUUCAGAGCUCAAGAUGAGGAACCACCUGGGUGCAAGGGUGCACCUGAGAUUCUAGCACUCUGGAAGACUAAGGCAAGAGGAUCACAAGUUCAAGCCCAGCCUGGGCAACUUGGUCACUUAGCAAGACCCUGUCUCAAAAAAAAAAAAAAAUACUGGUGAUGCAGCUCAGCACAAAGGCACUGGGUUCCAUCUCUAGUACUGCCAAAAAAUAAAGGGUGGGGGACUUGGAAACUGCAGUAUGCAGAAGUUCAGGUUUUUGGACUACAGCAGAGUCAGCAAGGAGGCCUCUGGGACUUGCUGUGUUUCUUGGCCCUAGGGAACUCAUUCAUGAGGUGGAGCUCUGUGCUCAAGAAGGAGGUCCCAAGUAAUAAGUAAAAUUGAGUCCCACCCUUUGCAGCUUGAUGGAUUCUUACCUCUUCCUUACCCCGUUCUUGCUGUUUUUCUCUUGCCACAGUCCCCAGAGUGCUGCUAGCUCCUUGUGCCAUUUUCUGGCCACAUUGCUAUGCAUAAUCAGACCUCCCUGUCCAGUGGUCUGACACCCACCUCCUCCCAUUGCAGGAAGAUUCUUCAAGGGAUUGCAUUUGGGAAGUCCCUUACUAGCUCCUGCCUGGAGCUGCAGGCCCAUACAUCUCCAAUUCCCUGCAUGAUACCCAGACUACUGCUACCAUGGCUGCUUUCUUCACCCCAGCACUGGGCACUGCAGUUAGCCUUUCCCCAUAGGAGUUUUACCACCACGGGUUACAAUUGCUUCUAUGUAAGAUUCAUGAUCUUUUGGCUUCUUUAAGAGCCAAAAGUAGCUCCCCUUAGUUGAGUUCUCCCUGGCCCUGGCUAAAAGCCCAUUUAAGUGUGGAUCCUUAGGUGACUUACCCUCACCCCACCCCAGAGGGACUAUUCAUGAAGAUACAUGAUGCUUCUGCCCUAUAAGUCUAGCCCAAUAAAGUUUGCACUUGGAGAGGGGGGUUGAAACAUCUCUUUUAUAUAGGACUUCUCUCCAUCUUUUCUAUGUUUAUGAUCUAGUUUCCUUAAAUACUAUCUAGCAAAAUGAAGCCUGCCAUUACUAGUUGGGGCAUCUCGGGCAGCUCAAUAUUUAAGCCUCGGUUUCCUCAUCUGUAAAAUGGGGGCUGUUGUGAGGAUUGAAAGUGUAAUAAAAUACCUACAAAGUGCCUGGUAUGUAGUGGGUGCUAAAUAAACCAAAUUUUGCCUGAAACUAUCAUAUACUGUGAUUCCUACAAUAGGAAGAGGAAAAUAAGAGUGAGCUGCUGCUUAAGUUUAGAAAAUCCAAAGUUCCUGGGCCUGUGGGUCUCAAAGUGUCUCUGAACAGCAACAUCAGCAUCAACAAGAAACUUGUAACACAUGCAAAACCCUCAGGUCCUAUGCCAGGCCUAAAUCAAACUAACUUUUUUUUUUUUUAAGACAGGGUCUCUCUCAGUCCCUAAGUCACCCAGCCUGGGCCCAAACUUGGUGACCCUCCUGCCUCAGCUUCCCCGAGUGCUGAGAUUAC
rnacentral:lncRNA from 1 species